UCUCUUGUGCUCGGGCAUGUACUGUCGCCAGUGAGGUCUUUACCGAGGCACAGUCUUUUGCUAGUUGCAAAUUACCUAUCCUUACCCGUCUGUCGGCUUUAGCCUUCAGAAAUUUUUGGAAACCUUCCGACGU
rnacentral:snRNA from 1 species